rnacentral:tmRNA from 1 species
GGGGACGACAGGCUUCGACGUGGUCGCUUCGUGGGGGUGGUUGCGAGUCGAGGUGUCGGAGGCCUCGUAAAACCCCGGCAAAAAAACAAGUGCGAAGUCUCACGACUUCUCGCUCGCUGCCUAGCAAACACUAGGUGACGGGCCUUGGCCCCCGGAGCCUGCGACGGGAUCAGGUCGAGUCAACAAGCAGGCCAAUGCCCCCGAAACGCCUGCCUGAGCCGCCCGGGGGGACCUUUGAUCAGGCUGGUCCUUCUCAACCCCGCCGGCGUGGCGAGCGAAGGGCGAGAUACAGAGCGCCGGACAUACUCGUAGACGUCACCUUUCACGCGAUUGCGGACGUGGGUUCAAUUCCCACCGUCUCCAC